rnacentral:rRNA from 1 species
UACGGGGGGGGCAAGCGUUGUUCGGAAUUACUGGGCGUAAAGGGCGCGUAGGCGGUCAGCACAAGUCAGUUGUGAAAUCUCCGGGCUUAACUCGGAAAGGUCAACUGAUACUGUGCGACUAGAGUGCGGAAGGGGCAACUGGAAUUCUCGGUGUAGCGGUGAAAUGCGUAGAUAUCGAGAGGAACACCUGCGGCGAAGGCGGGUUGCUGGGCCGACACUGACGCUGAUGCGCGAAAGCCAGGGGAGCGAAGCGGG